AAAAAAAAAAAGGAAGAAGCAGAUCAUGCUCAUGCCUUGGCUUUGUUUUUGAUUAUUUAAAGUGAAAAUAAUACAAAUAAUUGAGGAGUUUAAGGAAAAUGGUGGUUGUGGUUGUUGUACCAUGAUUCUUCUUCUCCAAAUCAUGGUAAUGUCUCCCAUGACCCCAAUAAGCCCUAAGAAAUUUAGAGAAAUAAAACUGAUAUUAAUUGUUAAAUGGCAUGACAAAUUCAGAGCAAAGUCUUGUCAGCUCCUCGCAAUUCCAUGCUCAAUCACUUGCCGGUUAAAAAGAAGCCAAUCUUAAACUAAUGACCCACCCAAACAAACACACCAAUCUUUCUCAUAAGCCAUUAGAUUAAAAAAUAAUAAUAAUUAACAUUUGAAAAGCAAAGCCCACCUAAAAAUUUUAUGGUGAAUAAUAUCAUCGCCAAGGAAAGAAAGAAAUAGUAGUCCAGGGAGUGUGCGGUUUGUUUGCUGUCAGAAAAGCUAAAAGCUAAAAGCUAAAAGCUAAAAGCUCAAAGAAGCAAAGUGGGGGGAGAUGGGGAAAAGCACUUCGUAUUUUUAAGUUGGUGAAUUGCGAGUUGAGUGACCCGCUCGAGAGAGAGAGAGAGAGAGAGAGAGAG
rnacentral:lncRNA from 1 species